UACAGAGGUCUCGAGCGUUAGGCGGAAUCACUGGGCUUAAAGCGUGCGUAGGCGGUUCGUUAGUCUGUUGUGAAAGCCCCGGGCUCAACCUGGGAAUGGCAAUGGAUACUGGCGAGCUAGAGUGUGUCAGAGGAUGGGUGGAAUUCCCGGUGGUAGCGGUGAAAUGCGUAGAGAUCGGGAGGAACAUCAGUGGCGGAAGGCGGCCAUCUGGGACAACACUGACGCUGAGGCACGAAAGCGUGGGGGAGCAAACUGAUGAUAGACCUAC
rnacentral:rRNA from 1 species